UACGGGGGGGGCAAGCGUUGUUCGGAAUUACUGGGCGUAAAGGGCGCGUAGGCGGCCUUCUAAGUCGAACGUGAAAUCCCCGGGCUCAACCCGGGAACUGCGUCCGAUACUGGAAGGCUUGAAUCCGGGAGAGGGAUGUGGAAUUCCAGGUGUAGCGGUGAAAUGCGUAGAUAUCUGGAGGAACACCGGUGGCGAAGGCGGCAUCCUGGACCGGCAUUGACGCUGAGACGCGAAAGCGUGGGGAGCAAACAGG
rnacentral:rRNA from 1 species